UACGGGGGGGGCAAGCGUUGUUCGGAAUUACUGGGCGUAAAGGGCUCGUAGGUGGCCAACUAAGUCAGACGUGAAAUCCCUCGGCUUAACCGGGGAACUGCGUCUGAUACUGGUUGGCUUGAGUUUGGGAGAGGGAUGCGGAAUUCCAGGUGUAGCGGUGAAAUGCGUAGAUAUCUGGAGGAACACCGGUGGCGAAGGCGGCAUCCUGGACCAAUACUGACACUGAGGAGCGAAAGCCAGGGGAGCAAACGGG
rnacentral:rRNA from 1 species